CUUUGUACUCCCGGGUGGGAGCGGUGAGGGAGUGGGUAGACCUUGUCAGUGUCCUAAACCAUCGUCUAGGGACAGGGACAGGCCGAAGUGCGAUAGCAGUGCUGGGCAUGGUUUGUUUUGAUCGAACAGGUGUGGAACGUGUGGCUAUGCCAAAGGCCAACUGAAAAGUCAACAGCAAACCCACACGAAGCAAACACGAGGCUUCCACUGAUGGGUCUGUGGGCUUUACAGUGCGGGCAACGUCAGUGCUGGUCACAUAGACGGAGAGACCGUUUUUUGAUGCCAGAGAUUAAUGCUUCAGUCCGUCACCACGGGGGUUAAAGGAGCAGCAAGAGACCACGUGGUUGGACCCUGCUCCAAGCUGAGCUGCCUGGCGUUCUCUCCUCCCCUCCCACUCUGAGGCUGCAGUUCACAUACCGAAAACAAAUGGCAUAAAGGGCAGGCAGUUAAUUUUUCAGCUGGAGACUGAUGGAAUGUGGGUGUCUGGCAUGCACCUCUGCCUCCAGUCUCCUCAGGGAAAUACCUCCCGGAGGGCCCUUCAAAUUCCUCAUCUGCCCUUUAGGACCAAUAGGUAAUUCAGUUCUGAAAAAUCAGUCGGAAUGGGUCUUAUGUCCACUAUACCAAGAGCCCAAGGAUUGCACAGACGACAGGCCCAUUCGUUUGUGGUUUUGUUUUGUUUUGUUUUUUUGUUUUCUAACACAAGGUUUCAUGUAGUUCAGGCUGGCCUCAAACUCACUAUGCAGACAAGGCUGGCCUUGGAAUUCUGAUCCUCCUUGUUGGGGUUACAGGUAACUGAGGGGACAGUUUGUCAUGAGUUUACUUGGGGAGAGAGAAAGGUCGUCUUAGAAUAUACCUCAGGGUCUAGAUUCUAAGUCCCCAGAACCUCUGUUGGGUUGGACCAGGAGAGCCAGCCUGGUGAACAAGGAUGCAGAGAAGCCUUGGGGGCGGGGUGCACACCUUUAAUCCUAGCACUCCGGAAGCAGGGGCAGGUGGAUGUCUGAGUUCUCUAGGCCUACUGUGGUCUGUAGAGUGAGUUCUAGAACAGCUAGGGCCACAGAGAGAACUGUCUUAAAGGGGAGGAGGGGCGCUGAGGAAGUGGGGAACCAUGCAGGGAAGCAUAUUAACAUAACAGCGGAAAGUUGUGACAUAACCUGGAACUGAAGAAAAACUACUGCAUCCAUGUUGAUAGAAUGAAGGUGUAGGAGGUAAACAUGUAGGCUCAGGCUGAGCGGGGAUAAAACUCAUAGUAAAACACAUAUCUAGCAACACAGGUUCAAGGUCCAGAGUUGCUGUUGAAGAAGAAGAGGAGGAGGAAGAGGAAGAAGAUGAUGUAGGUCUGUUAGGAUGGAUGGGCUGUAGCUGGGUGUUAACACAUGUGUUAAGGCUCAGCGUGUGCAAAGCCUUGCAUUUGAUUCCCAGAAGCAUAUAGGCGUGGUGGUGCAUUUCAGCAUUUCGAAAGCCGGAGUUAGAGGAUCAAAAUUUUAAAACAAUCCUGGGCUACAUGAGACCCUUAAAAAAGAAAACAAAUAAAAUACAUUCUUCUGUUGGAAAUUUAGGAGGGUGACCUC
rnacentral:lncRNA from 1 species